rnacentral:rRNA from 1 species
GAAAUUUCACGCGGCGGCAAGUUGCCAUACAAAACAGGGUCGCCAGCAAUAUCGGUAUAAGUCAAAGCACCUUUAGCGUUAAGGUACUGAAUCUCUUUAGUCGCAGUAGGCGGAAAACGAACAAGCGCAAGAGUAAACAUAGUGCCAUGCUCAGGAACAAAGAAACGCGGCACAGAAUGUUUAUAGGUCUGUUGAA